rfam:Gossypium raimondii Chr07_contig_1093, whole genome shotgun sequence.
UGUUAAAGAUUUCAUCUAUUUCUACUGUUUGAAGCUGGCGUAGCUAAUGGAAUAACCAUAUAGUUACACAUAGCGUGCCACGUGUACCUCAUGCUGACGUACAAUGACCACUUUUUAAUAGAAGAAAUGGAUGGAAUUUUUUUAUA